rnacentral:misc_RNA from 1 species
GGCUCCGUUGGUGAACCAGCGGAGGGAUCAUUACCGAGUUUACAACUCCCAAACCCAAUGUGAACGUUACCAAACUGUUGCCUCGGCGGGGUCACGCCCCGGGUGCGUCGCAGCCCCGGAACCAGGCGCCCGCCGGAGGAACCAACCAAACUCUUUCUGUAGUCCCCUCGCGGACGUUAUUUCUUACAGCUCUGAGCAAAAAUUCAAAAUGAAUCAAAACUUUCAACAACGGAUCUCCUGGUUCUG